CAUUGGAGAAAGUAAAGAGGUCCAGCGGUGACGGUGGCGCCUGAUUUGAGCUGUGUGUUUUGAGAGAGUGAGAGCGAGAGAGAGACACUGAGAAACAGAGUUCACUGAGGCACAGCAGGCACUUGGUGGUUGUUUAAUGGGUAAUUUAAUAUUUGAUUAACGUUUGAAUUAAAUAAUAGGAAGGCUGCUUUUUGUUU